ACGAACGCUGGCGGCGUGCCUAAUACAUGCAAGUAGAACGCUGAAGGCGGAGCUUGCUCUUCUGGAUGAGUUGCGAACGGGUGAGUAACGCGUAGGUAACCUGCCUGGUAGCGGGGGAUAACUAUUGGAAACGAUAGCUAAUACCGCAUAACAGUAGAUGUUGCAUGACAUUUACUUAAAAGGUGCAAUUGCAUCACUACCAGAUGGACCUGCGUUGUAUUAGCUAGUUGGUGGGGUAACGGCUCACCAAGGCGACGAUACAUAGCCGACCUGAGAGGGUGAUCGGCCACACUGGGACUGAGACACGGCCCAGACUCCUACGGGAGGCAGCAGUAGGGAAUCUUCGGCAAUGGACGGAAGUCUGACCGAGCAACGCCGCGUGAGUGAAGAAGGUUUUCGGAUCGUAAAGCUCUGUUGUAAGAGAAGAACGAGUGUGAGAGUGGAAAGUUCACACUGUGACGGUAGCUUACCAGAAAGAGACGGCUAACUACGUG
rnacentral:rRNA from 1 species